AAAAAUAUGUGGCAAUGUACAGUGCCAGGAUGAUAGCUAGUGUUUGGCAUAAUGCUUAUGACAGUAUGUUUCAAUCAUACGCAGACUUAAGUCUCUUCAGAUCUCACCAUUGAACUGGAUAAGCCUAAAUGAGGUCUGCAUGUUUUUUGCCUUUUCUGUCAUAGAGCAAACUAAAUGAUAAAUAGCGCACAAGAGCAAAGUGAUUGAUAGCAUGGCACUGAAAAUAUCUUUUGCAAAUGUGGAUGCUGAUGGGACUUUUUCUCUUUGCUGUUUUUUCUUACACCUUGUUUUAGGACUGAUCAAGUGCCUGACUCAGAUUGCCAUUUGGAACAUAAGCAAGCAGUGUCCAGAUUUCACCAUGAAGACAGACUUUUCAAGAAGAGCUGGAUAUGGUGUUGGAAGAGACAGAUUUCAGAAUUGAAUCAGCUCGCACUGGAUGUAGCUCUUCACUGUGUCUCUGAAGUCAUCCAGGGAAAAUAGGAAGACAUACUAACAUAAAGAAAAAAAACAAACAGAUUUUUGUCAUGUGGUUUUAGCCAUCUGUUUGGUGCCUCUCCCUUUGUAGUCAGGGGAAGCGGUGAGUCAUGCCAUCCUAAAAUUGGCGCUCUGAAUAGGCAGAAUGAGUUUGCCUCUGGAAUGAUGGACAGCAUAAAAAGGUGGAGUGGAGGUCUUAGAAUAGAUGCCUGACUUUUUGACUGAUUCAGGUAUCUGAGGUGAUGCCCACUUUGAAUGUUUUUAGGUUCAGACUCUCAGUUACACUUUCACUUUGUUGUUUUUAUAAGAAAGAUGUUAAUCUUGAUGAAAUUAUUUGUUUACAUUAUAUCAUCUGAAAAUAAUAUUCUAUCCUAGUUUUUUUCCUCUUUAUUUUCAUAUUUUUCCUUUUCUCUUGGUUUAUACCUAUUCAUUUUUCCAGCUGAAGGAAUAGUGGCAAUAGCAAAUAUAGAUUUACAUGUACUCAAAAUCUACCUAUGUAGGAAUAGAACGUAAAGUAAAUAUUUGGACAUAUUUCAUACAUCAAGAGUACAUAGUUUCAUUCGUGAUGUAAUUCAUAUUGGUUGUAUAUUCAGCUUAGUGGCAUGUAUUCAACCUUGAAAUGUAGACAUCUCUGUUGUGUUCAAAACUUUAUUGCAAGCCUUAACUGAUUUUGUAGUUACAUUCAUACUAUUACAUUUACAUUAUCAAUUGCUGGCUGGUAUGAAGUGUUUCUUCAAGUGAUUAGAAGUUCAUAUACUGAUUCCAUUGUCAAGAAUGAGUGAUUCUUAUUCCAAGAGAAGACAAAAAAAAAGUGUCUACAGUACCACCUUGAUCCAUAAGCAGGAUUGUGUCUAAUAAAGUUGAUAGUAUAUGGUUCCUGUUACUUGAA
ensembl:lncRNA